CCGGCGACCGGCGCACGGGUGAGUAACACGUAUGCAACCUGCCCGUGGCAGGGGGAUAAGCGGGGGAAACCCCGUCUAAUACCGCGUAACGCGGCCUUGGGGCAUCCCAAGGCCGCCAAAGGGAGCAAUCCCGGCCACGGAUGGGCAUGCGGCGCAUUAGCUAGUCGGCGGGGUAACGGCCCACCGAGGCGACGAUGCGUAGGGGUUCUGAGAGGAAGGUCCCCCACACUGGUACUGAGACACGGACCAGACUCCUACGGGAGGCAGCAG
rnacentral:rRNA from 1 species